GAUCACGGCCUUAACCUGUAAGAUAAUAGGUAGGUGGAAAGUUCCACCUUAUGUCUGUGCUCAGAUUGUGAGCUCUUUCCCUAACGUCGGAGAAGUGGGAGAGCAUAAGAGACAGGGGGGUGGUUUGUGUCUGCCCCAUUAUGUCCCCAGUCCAUACCAAGGCACAGACAGUUAUGACACUUAACAAAGACACAGUAACACAGACAAAUGCACAGUUAACAAGGACACAGUAACACAGACAAACGUUCCCGUGCGGCCGCGGAGACAAAACAGAAAGUAACCCGAAGGGCUGGCAGUCGGCCCUCCUUACAGAUGGGGACCCCGUCCUCCAGGCGGGGCAAGGGACGUCUCCCAAGACCCCCGGUGGAUCGGCCUGCCAGCACGUCUGUCUCAGCCAAUGUCGACCUAAUACAGAUUGGAAUUCCUACAGGGAAGACAAAUCUUUGAAGGUAUGCCUGUGUAAUAAAACGCCGUACCAACAUUGUAGCGUGGCAGGUCACUGGGAACCAGGAAUGAGCAACUGUGAACACAAUGACCCAAACUGAUUCAGCUGUGAGGAUAUGCUUCUUCAGUAUGAUCACCUGGGACCACAGCACUUGCAAAGAGAGGGACCUCCUCCACUCUCUUCAUCUGCCAUCAAAGACUGGCAGUGAUUACCGAGGCCUCUACAGGAAGGACAUUGUUAGAAGAAGCUACUUUUCCAUCUGAAAACAGAGUUCUGGUUUAUUCUGUUCAUCAGCUUUGUUUUACAGCACUGUACUUCUCAUGAAACUUCUUAUUACUUGUUUUAGUUCUUUUGGGGGGCAUUUGUUAUGGUUUUAUAUCAGAAAAAAAACUUGUAUUUGAAAUCUUAGGUAGAAAUUCUAGGUCUACAACUUAUUAAAGAGUUUCCCAAAACAGCCUAUUGGAUCUCUGAGCUUCCUCUUCCACAAAAUUUUCACUUGUGAAACAGUGAGAAAUAAACAUUGGUGGAAGCUCAUAUCUAUGCUUCCCCUCCCAUUCAGUCACAGCAUCAUUUUAAUUUUUCUACCUCAUUCCAGAAACUAUUGUUUUUCCUACUACUGUCUUCCACUCUAGACGAGGAGAACAGCAAAUGCUUCUUUCCUGGACUCUUGCAAAGUCAUCCCAUCUAGUAAUCCCCUUUCACUUUUUCUACUUUUCAGAUCAUCUUUCUAUGAGAUGCUCACGGUCUAUUCUUUCUCUUGCUCAAAUCACUUUAAUUCCAAAUGGAUGCAUAUAUUUAAAGGUUUUUCUUAAAUUAAAGACAUUUCUGCCUAUUUUAAUGUGUCAAAGAUACAUUUUUUUUUCCAAAAAAAAAAAAGAAGUUUGGAAAGAGUUUUAAAUUUCUUUGAGGAUAUACAUGGGAUUUCCAACUAAAGCAAAUUUAAAAAGCCUUCUAUGAGUUUUGUUUGCCUCAAAACUCUCAUCCUGAAAUGGCUGUGCUUUUGAGAACUUAACAACAACAGAUUUUCGGUUAGUUUUGCAAAUAUAAUCAACAAAAACUUAUUUUAAAUAGUGUAAGUGAUCCUUGGAGAAAUAUAUUAAACAUUGUAUAACUUUUCUAAGUACUAUCUCUGUGGAACAACCCAGUGGUGACAAAGUUGGGAACAGUGGGAGGAAGUAAAUACAAUAGCUCUCAUUAAGGUCUCCUUAAGUAACAAUUAUUCAGAAGUAGGCUAGUUUCUCUCUCUCUGUCUUUCUGACUCUCUCUCUCUCUGUCCCUCUGCCUUCCCCUCACUUUUUUAAAGUAAGAAAAGAAGAAUUUAGAUGUCCACCUCAAUUUGGUGGGGACAGGAGAAUAGGCAGUCAGAAAUUCUUUUCCUUUCCUUCUUUGGCUCAGCACAAAGUAUUUCAGAUGACCUUGCAAAUGCAUUCAACAUUAUUAGGGCCACUCUUUUCUUGUAAUACCAUUUUCUUUGGUCCCCAGAUAUUCUACUAUCCUGCCUUCUGUCACUUCUCUGUCUCCUGAAGAAGUACAUUUCUUCCACAUGGCCAUUAAAUACUAUCUUUGCUCAGUGUUCAGUUGCUGGUCUUUCGCUCCUCUCAUUUUAUAUCUUUCCCUAGGUAAUCUCAUUUAUACUUAUAUCCUUAGUCACUGCAUCAGCUCAGGUUAUCCAUAAAUUUAUCUGUGUAACUAAGACCUUUUCUUGAGCUACAUGUGUCUCUAUCCAACAGAUGAUUUCACAGUCUCCAGCCAGUCUCAAAUGUAUCACAAAUCCUCUAUGCUGAAAACCAAAAUCAUCAUCUUCCCUUCCAAACCAUGACCGUUUCCUGUCACAGUGAAUGGAACUAACAUCUAGUAAGUUACAUAAACCAAGAGCCUGAAUUCAUCCUUGAAACUUAGCUUUCAAUAAUAUCCUUGCCACAUCUAAUCUAUCACCAAAGUAUGCUAACUUAUCUCCUAAAUAAGCUCUGAAAUCAAUUCCUUUUUCUUUAUCUUUAUUACCAACUCUAUAGUCCAGCAACUGUCAUCUCUCAGCUGGCCUACAAAAUGUCUUCUUUCUGGUCUACUCAAAUUCACACUUGCCCCCAUGCAGUCCAACUCCACGUUUAUUCAGAUGUUUUCUUCCCUUCCACCCUUACAACUCCUCAGUUACAACUUUUCAUUGGCUUGCCAUUGCUCUCAGAAGACCAAUAGUCCCUAUGGUUUAUAAUACCCAGAAUAAUCUUGUGCCUCUCUUUUUCCUCAGCUCCAUCUUCUACUACUAUCCUUUUUAUUCUCUCAGCUUAAGUUUUGCUGGCCAUCAUUAAUCCUUCUUAAUCACCGUUUUCCCCUCUUGUUCCAAAUCCUCUAGGUCUUGAGUAUUCUUUAUUUUCCAAUUUAUGGAGUUUAAACCUAUUUACCUUCCAGAGUUAGGAUCCCAACCCCCCAAACUAGAUCAAAUCUACCUUAUUUACCUUCCAGAGUUAGAAUCCCAACCCCGAAACUAGAUCAAAUCUACCUAUUAUAAUCUUUAGUUGAAUAUAUAUCUUCAUUCUGGUACUAUCAGAAUUUCAAUUUUACAUUUUUUGUAAAAUUUUUGUGGCAUUUUUUGUUGUUAUCUUUUGAAUAGGCUUUAAAUUUUCUGAGGCCAUUGACCAGUUUUGCUCAAUACGUAGCACAGAGUGAGUGGUCAGUGAUAUUUGCUGUAAGAAUUGCUUGAUAAAUAAACAUGUCUACAAUGGCAGAUCCACCUUUUCACAGUGGCCACAAUGCCAGUGUUCCCUCUGCAAGAAGCUAUGUAAUGAGGAAAGGGAAACAUGGACCAUGGAGUUAAACAAAUAUGAGCAUGAAACUUCCUUUUCUACCUGCCACUUUGAAGCCUAUGAACUGGCCAUCAAUUUUCUUCCUCAACAAAAAUUGUACUGGGGCACCUGGGUGGUUCAGUCAGUGAAUAGUCUGCUUUUGACUCAGGUCAUGAUCCCAAGGUCCUGGGUUCAAGCCCUGCCUCAGGCUCCCUGGUCCUUGGAGUAAGGAGCUGCUUCUUCCUCUCCCUCUCCUUCUGCCCCUCCCUCUGCUUGUACUCUCUCUAACUCUCUCUCUCAAAUAAAUAAAUAAAAUAUUUUUUAAAAGGUAGUGCUAAUGAAGUCCUCUUUCAGGGCUAUUAUGAGGUAAGGGACAUGGAAUAGGCACUUUUUGGAUAAAUAAAACAAAUAUUCAUUCAAACAAAAGCAAUUUGUAAGCACCUACUAUGUGUCAGAGAUUAUCAUCAUCAUCAUCAUCAUCAUUUUUGCUUCUCAGUGUGGAUAUUUAUCCAUUGAAAUCAAUAUCAGCUGUGUCAUUUGUUAACAUUCAGUGUUGUCUUAUAGUCUUUUCUGUGUGUGUAUGUUUUGUUUCCUCAAGUGAUUAUGUAUAAUGCACUAAAAUUCUUUCUUUUAAAUGACUUUCACUUCUUAUUAUUAAAUAUUUCACAUAAUAAAUAGUAGUAGUAAAUUCAUGUUGGUUGAUUUGUUUAAUAACUUCAUUACCAAUUGCACAGCUAAUUACAAGGAAGGAAUACUUGAAAAACAAACAGGUCCAUAAUCUUUGCUCUUAGAGAAUUUUUAAAAAUCAAAUCAUAGGGAGUAAAUAAAUACCCAGUUCACAUGAGAAUUGUUUUAAAGUAUAAAUAUUACAAUGUAUGUCAAGAACUUU